AGACCUUCAAAAUUCCUGACGAGCUAAACCAUUUGUUCAUCUGAAUCAUGGCCAUGAUCCUGUUCUUGUUUGCCUUGGCGACCAUUCCAAGACGGGCCUUUUCAGAUGUUCAGCUGGUAUCAUCUGGGCCAGGAACACUGAGACCUGGACAGAACCUCCAUCUGGUCUGUAAAGUGAUAGGUGUCUCCAUCUCUAGUAGCAGCUAUGAUUGGCACUGGAUCCGUCAGCCUCCUGGGAAAGGUCUGGAAUGGGUUGCAUACAUAUACCCAUAUAAUGGGAACAAAAACUUCGCCUCUUCUCUCCAGAGCCGUGCCAGCAUUUCUGCAGACACCUCCACCAACCAGUUCUCCCUCCAGCUGAACUCCGUGACAGCUGCCGACUCUGCAGUUUAUUUCUGUGCUGGAGCCUCACAACUUUGCCUGUUACAUCUAAUGGGCAAAUCAACCUUUUCAGAAUUAUUUCUGGAUGAGAUGCAUAUAAAUGCUCUUCUGCUGCUGGUGGAAGGACUCAUGCAAAUGUCUCCUGGAAGCCUUGGGGGUCCGUGGGACCUCCUUCUCAAAAGGAACACCCUCCCAUUCAUGAUCCUCACUCUCUCCCAGGUUCAGACCUUCAACAUUUCUGACGAGCUAAACCAUUUGUUUAUCUGA